AACGAACGCUGGCGGCAUGCCUAACACAUGCAAGUCGAACGAGGCCUUCGGGUCUAGUGGCGCACGGGUGCGUCACGCGUGGGAACCUGCCCUUAGGUUCGGAAUAACUCCCCGAAAGGGGUGCUAAUACCGGAUAAUGUCUUCGGACCAAGAUUUAUCGCCUUUGGAUGGGCCCGCGUUGGAUUAGCUAGUUGGUAGGGUAAAAGCCUACCAAGGCGACGAUCCAUAGCUGGUCUGAGAGGAUGAUCAGCCACACUGGGACUGAGACACGGCCCAGACUCCUACGGGAGGCAGCAGUGGGGAAUAUUGGACAAUGGGCGAAAGCCUGAUCCAGCAAUGCCGCGUGAGUGAUGAAGGCCUUAGGGUUGUAAAGCUCUUUUACCCGGGAUGAUAAUGACAGUACCGGGAGAAUAAGCUCCGGCUAACUCCGUG
rnacentral:rRNA from 1 species